UACGUAGGGCGCAAGCGUUAUCCGGAAUUAUUGGGCGUAAAGAGCUCGUAGGCGGUUUGUCGCGUCUGCCGUGAAAGUCCGGGGCUCAACUCCGGAUCUGCGGUGGGUACGGGCAGACUAGAGUGAUGUAGGGGAGACUGGAAUUCCUGGUGUAGCGGUGAAAUGCGCAGAUAUCAGGAGGAACACCGGUGGCGAAGGCGGGUCUCGUGGGCCGUAACUGACGCUGAGGAGCGAAAGCGUGGGGAGCGAACAGG
rnacentral:rRNA from 1 species